CACAGCAGUGAAAGCAUCAAGUCCUAACCACUGGACCAUCAGGGAAUUCCCAGUCCACUGACAUUUAAAGUAAUCAUUGAUAGGUUUAAAAAAAAUUAUUUGGUUAUGCUGAGUCUGAGUUGUGGCAUGUGGGAUCUUUGUUGCCAUGUGUGGGAUCCUGAGUUGCAGCAUGUGGGAUCUAGUUCCCUGACUAGGGAUUGAACCCGGGCCUCCUGCAUUAGGAGUGAGGAGUUUUAACCACUGGACCACCAGGGAAGUCCCUAUGGUGGCUCUUGUCAGGACCCAGCCGUCGCUGCUCUGGAUCCUGACCUGAACCCUGGACCCACUGGCUCACCACCACCAGAGGGACCUCCAAACUGGGCCUGAUCACCGCAGACCACAGGUUGUUCCCAGUUUCAGGACCGUUUCUGCAGCCGUCACGUGAUAGCAAAACGGUGGUAAAGCAGUGCACGAGUCUGCGUCGAAGACAGCCAGAGUCCAUGCAUCGGGAGGUUCUCUCGGUUGGAGAAGGAACAAAGGGAGGACAUGCUCGGGCCGGGAGAUGCAGUUCCUCGCUCUCGCCACAAGAGGCCUAUGAAGAUUCAUCAAGACAGUGGUUGUAAAACUCUUACCACACACAAAGCCUUCUUAGAGAGGGAAAACCAAGACUCCAUGACCAGCCAAGAUUGCCAGCUGACCUGAUGCUUAAGCUGGGAAUGGGAUGCAGGAUCCAUCCUCCACCUUCCUCAGGAGGAGAAAGAUCAAAGCCUUCAAGGCCUUGCUGAAGCAUCACUUCCUCCAGGAAGCCCUCCCUGCUCUCCCCGCUGAGUCAGCAGAAUCCACAGAACAUGCAGCUGGGUCAGGCUGACCUUGGCAUUCUUCACACCCCCAUUGUAUCUGGAAUUAUACCCAAUCGACAGGCAG